rnacentral:rRNA from 1 species
CAUGCAAGUCGAGCGGUCAAAAUGAGGGGGCUUGCCCCUGAAAGACGAGCGGCGGACGGGUGAGUAAUGCGCGGGAACGCGCCCUUUGGAGGGGGACAACCUUGGGAAACCAGGGCUAAUACCGCAUAACCUCCACGGAGCAAAGCGGGGGAUUUCUUCGGAAACCUCGCGCCAAAGGAGCGGCCCGCGUCCGAUUAGUUUGACGGCGGGGUAACAGCCCACCGUGACUACCAUCGGUAGCUGGUCUGAGAGGAUGAUCAGCCACACCGGGACUGAGACACGGCCCGGACUCCUACGGGAGGCAGCAGUGGGGAAUAUUGGACAAUGGGGGCAACCCUGAUCCAGCGAUGCCGCGUGUGUGAAGAAGGCCUUCGGGUUGUAAAGCACUUUCGCAGGGGAAGAAACGGUGCGCUCUAACAUAGCGCGCAACUGACGGUACCCUGAAAAGAAGCGCCGGCUAAUUCCGUGCCAGCAGUCGCGGUAAUACGGAAGGCGCAAGCGUUAAUCGGAAUGACUGGGCGUAAAGCGUGCGCAGGCGGCCGCGCAAGUCGGAUGUGAAAGCCCCGGGCUCAACCCGGGAAUGGCGUUCGAAACUGCGCG